CCAGCCUUAAAAUCAAUUUUUACCCAACUUACACAUGCAAGUAUCCGCACCCCAGUGAGAACGCCCCCAUCCAAGAUGGGGAGCUGUCAUCAGGCACAAUGAUUAGCCUAAGACGUCUAGCCCCACCACACCCCCAAGGGUCUUCAGCAGUGAUUAACAUUAAACAUUAACGACAGUUAAAUUUAGUUAGGGUUUUCUAGAGCCGGCCAACGUGGUGCCAGCCGCCGCGGUUAUACCACAGGCUCAAAUUGAUCCAAGUCGGCGUAAAGCGUGACUAAAGUUUUACUCACUAGAACUAAACUUAAAUUGAGCUGUAAAAACCUCAUUUAAUAUUAACACAAAACAAAAGUUAUUAUAGAUAUUCUUGAAUCACGACAGUUGGAAAACAAACUGGGAUUAGAUACCCCACUAUGCCCCCCGUAAACCUUUAAUUACAUCAAGUCCGCCAGAGAACUACGAGCCUAGCUUAAAACUCAAAGGACUUGUCGGUACCCCAAACCCCCUAGAGGAGCCUGUCCUAUAACCGAUAAUCCCCGCUUAACCUCACCCCUUUUAGCUUUUCAGCCUGUAUACUUCCGUCGUAAGCCCACCACGUGAGCGAAAUCCAGUUGGUCCCCCGCCCAUAUGCAUGAACGUCAGGUCAAAGUGCAGCAAAUAAAGAGGGAAGAGAUGGGCUACAUUUUCUAGUUUAGAAUACACGGAAAGCCACUAUGAAACCUGGCCAAAAGGCGGAUUUAGAAGUAAAGCGGGAAUAGAGAGCCCCCUUUAAUCCGGAACUGGGAUGCGAACACACCGCCCGUCACCCUCCUCAAACUACACCAAAAGUAACUUAACACUUAAAAUUUUUAAAGAAGAGGUAAGUCGUAACAUGGUAAGUGUACCGGAAGGUGUACUUGGAAA
rnacentral:ncRNA from 1 species